ensembl:lncRNA
UUCAGAAUUAGGUCUUUUUUUGGGGGCUGAUGGAUCUCACCAUCAGGGUUGGAGGUUGCAGCCAGUAAGAGAGUGGCUUAAGGCUGUGUUCUGCCUGUGGACUUGGCUUCCAGGCAGGUUUACAUGAGUUCAAGGGGAGAAGUUCAUCAAAGAGAAAUCCACAGAGAUUAAGAACAUAGUGACUGCAGUAUUUGCAAGAAGUUGCUGAGCAAAAAUUGUUGGAAGAGGACACAAGUGGAAAGCAUCGCAUACUUCUGCUGAAUUUUAUUCCUCCUUGAGUACCUAUUCUGGCUGCUGAUGGAGACAAGAUACUGAAUUAUGAACUUUCAGCCUGCCUUGGUAACAGAUGCUCAUUGUGACGUGAACGUAAUUUCAGUACCUGCAUAGGAGAAAUGACGACCGGAGCCACCCGAGCUUAAAGGGUGCCUGAUUAUCUGGUUUAUCUUCGUUCUCUGGGCUGUAUCAUCGGCCGCUGGAACGAGACCCGUCGGCUGAGAGUUGUGCCUGAACUUUGGUUUCAUAACAACAGCAGAGACAGUUGUUCUUGCGACAGACCUCUCUUGGACUGAACAAAAACAUGUACGGCCCAUGUGCAGUCCAUACAAGAAAUACAAUGUUAGCUUGGCUAGUCUGAAGCUAGCAAUGAUCUUAGUUUAUUUUAUACUUUCCCCAACUGUAUUGUCGCUGCCUUCCUCCUUCCAGCCCCAUUCCUGUCCACCUCCCAUAUUACGUGGCCACGGCACCAUUUGCUUGCUAAGGAAAGGGUUGCUGUGGUUCUUGUUGCAGCAAUGUCUAAGCUUCUAUCUUAUCCUCUAGCAUUAAUGCAGGUUUUUAGCUUAAUGUGGAAUCUGAUGAUAUCUCUUAUGACACAGAGGAAGAAUUUUCCAUUUUGUUUCAGAAUUUUUAUGGAAAGAAUUGAAAAGUUUGGGGGGGGGAGUAAGAGUUUUGCCCAAUGAAUGUUAAAAACAGAGUAUUUUCAUAGUAAUGGAACUGAAAAGUUUUUCCUGCAUUCCCUCUCCUGCUCCUUUCUUUCCUUUAAAAGGAGAUGGGAGAGCAGAACUAAUAAAGAGGUAUUUCUUCCUUCACUAAGGUUGCAAAAUGUCAACCCACCAAUGGAGCUUUGUCUUGAGCAUUUUGUUAGAGUUAGAAAUAAAGGGAUAUUUUAUUAGAAAGAAACCUUUACUAAACAAAAACUCAGACUAGUUCCCAUUAUUGACUUUUAAAUUAUGUGCACAGACCUGUCUUUUCUUUCUGUUUGAACGACAUCUAGCACAUAGAGGCUACAGAUAUGCCUUAUGCCUCUGCUGCAGCAGUGAGAGUAACGUGCUUCAGUGCUUGCUUAUGAAUAUUUCCUUAUUGUCCAUCACCAUUAUGGAACAUAAAUAUGCGCUGUAAACUUGUCACCCCCUUCAACCUGGGCUGCAAGGAGGCAUUCCUGCACCAGUGAUCUGUUGCACUGUGGUUAAACUCUGCUAAAGUUCCUCCUCCUGCCCAAAGCUGUGGGGUAGAUGGACUUAUUCCCACUGCCCGUGAAGUUCAAGCCUCCAUCAGAGAAGCUGCAGCCUUCAGCGUGGGAGAGGAGAGAGGGGCUGCUGUUGUUCAUGUUUGUGCAUGGCCGGGUUCCACUUUGGCAGACAGGAGAGGCUGCAGUCUGAAAGCCGUGGGCCGAUAAGUGGCUUUUGAGAGAUAAGAUAUGAAAGACUCUGUAAUUCUGGAUGAGAGUGUUGAGUAGUUUAUAUGUGUAAGUCCAGAUGUUCAGUAAAAGGAGCUGUUCCAGCCCUUCAGCUGUGUACGCCUGCUUGCACGUGUAUGGUCUGGUGUGCUCAUGGACCUGGGCAAGUGACAGUCCCGGGAAGCAGUGAGCAAGGCACUGGGACUCAGGGGAGACGUGAG